AUGGCGGCGUCGGAGGGGGCAAUGCGGAUGGGCAAGUACGAGAUGGGGCGGACGCUCGGGGAGGGGCACUUCGGCAAGGUGAGGCUGGCGCGGCACGCCGACACCGGCCGCGCCUUCGCCAUCAAGAUCCUCGACCGCCAGCGCAUCCUCGCCAUGAAGAUCGACGAGCAGAUAAAGACGGAGAUCGCGACGCUGAAGCUGCUCAAGCACCCCAACGUCGUCCGCCUCUACGAGGUUGCCGCAAGCAAGACCAAGAUAUACAUGGUCCUCGAGUACGUAAACGGAGGAGAGCUAUUUGAGAAAAUCGCACUAAAGGGCAAGCUCUCAGAGAAAGAAGGGAGGAAACUGUUCCAGCAACUAAUGGAUGCUGUAAGCUAUUGCCACGAGAGGGGUGUUUAUCAUAGGGACCUUAAGCCCGAGAAUGUCCUGGUUGAUGCAAAGGGGAACAUAAAGGUCUCUGAUUUUGGACUAAGUGCCCUUCCACAGCAUCAACGGAAAGAUGGAUUACUGCAUACCACGUGUGGCAGCCCUAACUACAUAGCCCCUGAGGUCCUUCUCAACAAAGGUUAUGAUGGCUCUAUGUCAGAUGUAUGGUCCUGUGGUGUUAUCCUCUAUGUGAUGCUUACAGGGAAUCUUCCGUUCGAUGACGAAAAUAUGGUUGUCCUUUAUCAGAAGAUUCUGAAAGGGGAUUAUCGUAUUCCUAAAUGGCUUUCGCCAGGAGCCCAAGAUAUACUGCGAAAACUCCUGGAUCCGAACCCCAUUACCCGCCUUGGCAUGGACGGAAUAAGGGAGCACGAUUGGUUCAAUCAAAGUUAUACUCCAGCAGUGCCUUUUGAUGAUGAUGACGAUAAUUACGUUGGUGAUGACAACUCCCACAUGACCAAGCACGAUGGCAUUCAAGACAAUCCCGCAAUCAACCAGAUGAAUGCUUUUCAACUCAUCGGAAUGUCCUCGUGCCUUGAUUUAUCUGGGUUUUUUGAGAAAGAAGAUGUCUCGGAAAGAAAAACCAGAUUUGCAUCAAACUAUCCCCCUACUUAUCUAUUUGAGAAGAUAGAGAGCAAUGUCAUAAAUAUGGGCUUCCAAGUACAGAAGAACAAUGGCAAGCUAAAAGUGAUCCAAGAGCGCAAGGGACCAACAAAUCCAAGAGGGCAUGGAUCAUUAUUAAUUUCUGCUGAGGUGUUUGAGAUCAAUGAAUCUCUUUAUGUUGUUGAGCUCAAAAGGUCAUGUGGAGACUGCUCCCUAUACAGACAGCUGUGUGCAACGCUCUCAGACGACUUGGGAAUAUGCAAAAGCCAGCAACUUCUGAAGAAUGACUCUAUAAGACAAGAGCUUUAUCGAUUUAAUAGUAGCUUUUGA
rnacentral:rRNA from 1 species